ACUGCCAUCAACUUCAUUCAAUAUUGUAAAUAAUACUUUAAAAAUGUGUCUAAUAUAACUUUAAAAUUAUUUUUUUAUACAUCAUGUAGUUGUUUUAUAUUGGUAAUCAAUAAUCAUCAUUCACAAAAUAUCGUCAAAUAAAUAAAACGAACUAUCGAAAAAUGUAAAUAUAAUAGAUGUAACGUGUUGCAGUAGCGACUAGCGGCGCAGCAGUAGAAUAUGCGGCUCAUUCACAAAACGACGAGAUGAUUGUACGUGGUAAUCGCGUACUAUAUAGUGACAUAGUGUUAUGUAUAGUAUUUAUAUAGUAUUAUACUUAGGACGUGUGUAUAAAAUGAUAUUGGCGCCUUCGAGACCGCGUACAUUGUCGUCGGAGAUGGAGAGAGGGGCUAAAUUUAUUUUAUAAAUAUAUAAUAUUAUAAUAAUA